rnacentral:rRNA from 1 species
AUUGAACGCUGGCGGCAGGCCUAACGCAUGCAAGUCGAGCGGAUGAAGGGAGCUUGCUCCUGGCUUCAGCGGCGGACGGGUGAGUAAUGCCUAGGAAUCUGCCUGGUAGUGGGGGAUAACGUCAGGAAACGGGCGCUAAUACCGCAUACGUCCAGAGGGAGAAAGUGGGGGAUCUUCGGACCUCACGCUAUCAGAUGAGCCUAGGUCGGAUUAGCUAGUUGGUAGGGUAAAGGCCUACCAAGGCGACGAUCCGUAACUGGUCUGAGAGGAUGAUCAGUCACACUGGAACUGAGACACGGUCCAGACUCCUACGGGAGGCAGCAGUGGGGAAUAUUGGACAAUGGGCGAAAGCCUGAUCCAGCCAUGCCGCGUGUGUGAAGAAGGUCUUCGGAUUGUAAAGCACUUUAAGUUGGGAGGAAGGGCAGUAAGUUAAUACCUUGCUGUUUUGACGUUACCAACAGAAUAAGCACCGGCUAACUUCGUG